rnacentral:rRNA from 1 species
GUCAGCUCGUGUCGUGAGAUGUUGGGUUAAGUCCCGCAACGAGCGCAACCCUUGUCUUUAGUUGCUACGCAAGAGCACUCUAAAGAGACUGCCGGUGACAAACCGGAGGAAGGUGGGGAUGCCGUCAAGUCCUCAUGGCCCUUAUGGGUAGGGCUUCACACGUCAUACAAUGGUACGUACAGAGGGUUGCCAACCCGCGAGGGGGAGCUAAUCUCUUAAACGUAUCGUAGUCCGGAUCGUAGUCUGCAACUCGACUACGUGAAGCUGGAAUCGCUAGUAAUCGCGGAUCAGCAUGCCGCGGUGAAUACGUUCCCGGGUUCUGUACACACCGCCCGUCACACCAUGGGAGUGGGUUUUGCCAGAAGCCGUAGCCUAACCGCAAGGGG